ensembl:lncRNA
GCAAUAGUCAGCACAGAAUAGCUCCUCUGCACUAGCCCAGUCCGUGGGACCUCCUGGGCUGCUCCAUUCCCAUGUCACCGUGUGAUGAGGAUGGGGAGUUGGUCAUACCACAUCUGAGGUCAUUGUUCAACCUGCUGAGUGCUUCCCAGAUCUCAAGGCACACAACAGUCACCCUCUCAGUAGCAUUCUCUUACUGUGCAGCUGAGACAUGUCUUAGAUCUUCCGUUCUUGCCCUGACCUUAUACCAAAGAUGUUCUCACCUUACCGGGGCAGGUGCUCAGGGUGUCUGGCUUUGCUCCCAUCUCCUGUUUGGCACCCCCACCCUCCAUGUGAAUGGAUAACAAACACCAGCCCUUGAUACCUGGAGGAGCCAGGCUUGAUGCACUUAGAUGGAACAGCUUCUGGUUUGGUUCCCAGCCUUUGGCCCUCCUGUGUGUACCUUGCCAACCACGCUAUUUAUUUCCUGUUAGUAAGUAAUGGUAGUAUGAAGCAUUUCAAGAACACACUGAACAUCUGGAAGAAUGUGUUUUUCAUGACCAUAUGUUUGUUGAUGCACUGCAGACUGAACCUGACCAGUGCUUGCUCUCUGCUCCUAUGGUUUGUUCCACAGAGUGCUGAUUUCGUCCAGGCAGGAGCAGUAUCUUCCAAUGCGUCAACAUUUAGCAUGCGGUGCCCCAAUGCUGCCCAGAGAGCCUAGAUGCUGUGGGCCAAGAGAUAAUUUUGGUGCAGCAAUGUCAGGUGGAAACUCUGCCAAAAACACGUGUCGAGGGUGUGACCUCUGGGUUUCUCCUCCCUGGGGACAGGGGCUUCAGCUGUACUCAGGGUUGGCCUCAUGUUCCCACACUGAGCAGGAUGAUGGUGAUUAGCCAACCCACCUGAGAAAAUCCUCUUAAAUUCUAAACUUUGUUUGUGCUGUUAAUUGGCUGCGCCAGAGGGAAGAUUAACGGGUCCUGUGCAGUUGUUUGGGGAGAACUCACAGUUCCCUGACGCCACUACCUUUUUAUUUCCUGUCAGGAGCUUAUUCCCAUUUCCAGGGCAACCAAAUAGUUUUUAUCAGUAUCUGGGAGAAAAGAAAAAACAAAACCAGAGUUUCAAUCAGAUAAGGAUCUAAGGAAGCUUUCUAAAGAUAUUGUGCUCAAUGUUAGUCAUAUGAAUGUACUACAAGAUCAUGUUUCUUUGGUAUUUUUUUGUUUAAUUUCCUUAUUUGCGUUUUAGUUGUGUUCAUGGUUUAUUUAUUUAUUUUGGAUGCUCUCAGAUUCAGCCUUGCCGGUCGUUUAGCUUCUGUGCUAGCAAAAAUCAUGUCCUGGGCCAAAAGACAAGACAAGCUGCAGCUUAGGAAGUUCACUUCUUUAAGACGUUUUCUUUUUAAAGGAGAAAGCAGUUCAAACUGCACCUGGCAAAAUGACUGACUUCAAAAGCAUGUUUUUCCUUGUAUAUAGACACUCACAAAACAGCGUUGUGUGGUUAAAAAGGUGAGUUUGUGGUAGUUUCUUUUUCAGUGCCAAAAUAUAUAAGCAGUAUUGUUUGAAGGGAAAUAAGAAUUUUUUUACUGUAUUGUUAUUACUGUUGAACAAAUAUUGUUUUAAAUGUUAGAUUUUGAAGACUUUUGUAUUGUAAACUGUUUUGUGACAUGGUGCUUUUUCAUACUGGAAUUACUAAUUGCACCUAAAUAUGAAUUUUUGUUUUCUUAUAUAAAUAUGUAACCUUGAACAAUCUUGAUGAAAACCAAUGUAUGGUGGAUACCAAUGGUUCAAACCAAUUCUCCUACUGAAAUCCCCUAAAUGUUCUUUCCUACUAAUAAACAUUCUGCUGCAGC